rnacentral:rRNA from 1 species
GAUCAACGCUGGCGGCGCACAUAAGACAUGCAAGUUGAACGGACUUAAUCGAAAUAUUUAUAUUUUGAAGCGGUUAGUGGCGGACUGGUGAGUAACGCGUAAGGAACCUGCCUAUUAGAGGGGAAUAACAGUGAGAAAUCAUUGCUAAUACCGCAUAUGCCAUAGAUAUCACAUGAUAACAGUGGGAAAGGAGCAAUCCGCUAAUAGAUGGCCUUGCGUCUGAUUAGAUAGUUGGUGGGGUAACGGCCUACCAAGUCGACGAUCAGUAGCCGGACUGAGAGGUUGGCCGGCCACAUUGGGACUGAGGUACGGCCCGGACUCCUACGGGAGGCAGCAGUCGGGAAUAUUGCGCAAUGGAGGCAACUCUGACGCAGUGACGCCGCGUAUAGGAAGAAGGUUGUCGGAUUGUAGACUAUUGUCGUUAGGGAGGAGAAAGGACAGUACCUAAGGAGGAAGCACCGGCUAACUACGUG